AUAGUUAACUGUCAUGUUUUCAGCAAAAAAGCAGUCCAUGAUUCAAUAGUGUAUAGUUAUCGACACGGCUUCUCAGGUUUCGCUGCCAAGCUCACAGAGUCCCAAGCCCAGCAAAUUUCAGAACUGCCUGAAGUAGUACAAGUCACACCAAAUACAUUAUACGAACUGACAACAACUAGAACUUGGGAUUACUUGGGCCUGUCUCCGGGUAAUUCAGAGAGUCUCCUACAUAAGGCCAACAUGGGAAGUCCGGUCAUUGUUGGAGUUAUUGAUUCAGGAGUGUGGCCAGAGUCUGAAAUG